UACGUAGGGUGCGAGCGUUGUCCGGAAUUAUUGGGCGUAAAGAGCUCGUAGGCGGUGUGUCACGUCGGCCGUGAAAACCUGCAGCUUAACUGUGGGCGUGCGGUCGAUACGGGCAUCACUGGAGUUCGGCAGGGGAGACUGGAAUUCCUGGUGUAGCGGUGAAAUGCGCAGAUAUCAGGAGGAACACCGGUGGCGAAGGCG
rnacentral:rRNA from 1 species